rnacentral:lncRNA from 1 species
UCUCCAGCUCUACCCAGCAAAAUGGACCACUGGAGCUUGAUUUUUGGUCUUCCCAGAAUGCCCUGUCUUCCCCCCUUUCUCAGGGAAUAAAAAUCCUUUUUUCCUGGGGAGAAUCUUCCCUCUGUGGGACAAGAGUGCUGACUCUGUGCCUUCACUUGCCCAAGGAUAGGCCUGGGCUCAGAACUUGCCAAAGCUUGUCCUUCCUCCCCCCAUGGCUAAGAGGGCCAGUGACCCCAGCAGUAUCAUGUUUUCAUGAGAUUUGUCAUCUGGGGACUGGGACAGAAGCAUCUGUCUUUCUCUAGAUCCACUAGUUAAAUGGAACACAUGAGCCUAAUACUCCAGGAACGACUCCCCUUCCUCCUCUUCCCCACCUCCAUCACCCCACUUUCCAUA